AACGAACGCUGGCGGCAUGCCUAACACAUGCAAGUCGAACGAGACCUUCGGGUCUAGUGGCGCACGGGUGCGUAACGCGUGGGAAUCUGCCCUUGGGUUCGGAAUAACAGUUGGAAACGACUGCUAAUACCGGAUGAUGACGUAAGUCCAAAGAUUUAUCGCCCAAGGAUGAGCCCGCGUAGGAUUAGCUAGUUGGUGAGGUAAAGGCUCACCAAGGCGACGAUCCUUAGCUGGUCUGAGAGGAUGAUCAGCCACACUGGGACUGAGACACGGCCCAGACUCCUACGGGAGGCAGCAAUGGGGAAUAUUGGACAAUGGGCGAAAGCCUGAUCCAGCAAUGCCGCGUGAGUGAUGAAGGCCUUAGGGUUGUAAAGCUCUUUUACCCGGGAUGAUAAUGACAGUACCGGGAGAAUAAGCUCCGGCUAACUCCGUG
rnacentral:rRNA from 1 species